rnacentral:rRNA from 1 species
CUUCUACAUGCAAGUCGAGGGGCAGCAUAAAUUACUUGUAAUUUGAUGGCGACCGGCGAACGGGUGCGUAACGCGUAUGCAACUUACCUUUUACUAGAGAAUAGCCAAGAGAAAUUUUGAUUAAUGCUCUAUACACUUUAAGACUCUCAUGAGUCUAAAAGAAAAGCUCCGGCGGUAAAAGAUGGGCAUGCGUUCUAUUAGCUUGUAGGUGAGGUAACGGCUCACCUAAGCUCCGAUAGAUAGGGGUCCUGAGAGGGAGACCCCCCACACUGGUACUGAGACACGGACCAGACUUCUACGGAAGGCAGCAGUAAGGAAUAUUGGACAAUGGAGGCAACUCUGAUCCAGCCAUGCCGCGUGAAGGAAGAAGGCCCUAUGGGUCGUAAACUUCUUUUAUACAGGAAGAAAUCUUUCCACGUGUGGAAAGUUGACGGUACUGUAAGAAUAAGGAUCGGCUAACUCCGUGCCAGCAGCCGCGGUAAUACGGAGGAUCCAAGCGUUAUCCGGAAUUAUUGGGUUUAAAGGGUCCGCAGGCUGUUUGUUAAGUUAGAGGUGAAAUCCUACCGCUCAACGGUAGAACUGCCUUUAAUACUGGCAAACUUGAGUUAUUGUGAAGUAAUUAGAAUGUGUAGUGUAGCGGUGAAAUGCAUAGAUAUUACACAGAAUACCGAUUGCGAAAGCAGAUUACUAACAAUUAACUGACGCUGAGGGACGAAAGCGUGGGUAGCGAACARGAUUAGAUACCCUGGUAGUCCACGCCGUAAACGAUGGUCACUAGCUGUUCGAUGUACAUUGGGACAUUGAGUGGCUAAGCGAAAGUGAUAAGUGACCCAC